rnacentral:rRNA from 1 species
AACGGGUGAGGAACACGUAAGAAUCUGCCCCUCGGUCGGGGACAACUCUUGGAAACGAGAGCUAAUACCCGAUACGCUGUGGAGUGAAAGAAUUUCGCCGAGGGAUGAUCUUGCGUCUGAUUAGCUAGUUGGUGUGGUAACUGCACACCAAGGCGACGAUCAGUAGCUGGUCUGAGAGGAUGGACAGCCACAUUGGGACUGAGACACGGCCCAAACUCCUACGGGAGGCAGCAGUGGGGAAUCUUGCACAAUGGAGGAAACUCUGAUGCAGCGAUGCCGCGUGAGUGAAGAAGGCCUUUGGGUUGUAAAGCUCUUUCGUCGGGGAAGAAAAUGACUGUACCCGAAUAAGAAGGUCCGGCUAACUUCGUGCCAGCAGCCGCGGUAAUACGAAGGGACCUAGCGUAGUUCGGAAUUACUGGGCUUAAAGAGUUCGUAGGUGGUUAAAAAAGUUGAUGGUGAAAUCCCAAGGCUCAACCUUGGAACUGCCAUCAAAACUUUUUAGCUAGAGUAUGAUAGAGGAAAGUGGAAUUUCUAGUGUAGAGGUGAAAUUCGUAGAUAUUAGAAAGAACAUCAAAAGCGAAGGCAACUUUCUGGAUCAUUACUGACACUGAGGAACGAAAGCAUGGGUAGCGAAGAGGAUUAGAUACCCUCGUAGUCCAUGCCGUAAACGAUGUGUGUUAGACGUUGGAAAUUUAUUUUCAGUGUCGCAGGGAAACCGAUAAACACACCGCCUGGGGAGUACGACCGCAAGGUUAAAACUCAAAUGAAUUGACGGGGACCCGCACAAGCGGUGGAGCAUGUGGUUUAAUUCGAAGAUACGCGCAGAACCUUACCAACACUUGACAUGUUCGUCGCGAGCCUAAGAGAUUAGGCUUUUCAGUUCGGCUGGACGAAACACAGGUGCUGCAUGGCUGUCGUCAGCUCGUGUCGUGAGAUGUUGGGUUAAGUCCCGCAACGAGCGCAACCCUCACUUUUAGUUGCCAUCAUUAAGUUGGGCACUCUGAAAGAACUGCCAGUGAUAAGCUGGAGGAAGGUGGGGAUGACGUCAAGUCCUCAUGGCCCUUACGUGUUGGGCUACACACGUGCUACAAUGGCAUCUACAACAGGAAGCAAAACGGCAACGUUAAGCAAAUCCCGAAAAGAUGCCUCAGUUCGGAUUGCACUCUGCAACUCGAGUGCAUGAAGCUGGAAUUACUAGUAAUCGUGGAUCAGCGUGCCACGGUGAAUGCGUUCCCGGGUCUUGUACACACCGCCCGUCACACCAUGGGAGUUGGUUCUACCUUAAGGCAAGGUUUCAAACCCUUGACCACGGUAUAGUCAGCGACUGGGGUGAAGUCGUAACAAGGUAGCCGUAGGGGAACCUGCGGCUG